rnacentral:rRNA from 1 species
AGCAGCCGCGGCAAUUCCAGCUCCAAUAGCGUAUAUUAAAGUUGUUGCAGUUAAAAAGCUCGUAGUUGAACUUCAGGCCUGUCCAGAUGGUCCGCCUUAAUUGGUGUGUACUGUCCUUGGGUGGGUCCUACCUUCUGGCGAAGCGGCAUGGCCUUAAUUGGUUGUGUCGGGGAACCAGGACUUUUACUGUAGAAAAAAUUGAGUGUUCAAAGCAGGCAUUAUAUGCUCGAAUACAUUAGCAUGGAAUAAUGGAAUUAGGACGAUGGUUCUAUUUUGUUGGUUCUAGGACCGUUGUAAUGAUUAAUAGGGAUAGUUGGGGGCAUUAGUAUUCAAUUGUCAGAGGUGAAAUUCUUGGAUUUUAUUGAAGACUAACUACUGCGAAAGCAUUUGCCUAAGGAUGUUUUCAUUAAUCAAGAACGAAAGUUAGGGGAUCGAAGACGAUCAGAUACCGUCGUAGUCUUAACCAUAAACUAUAGCCGACUAGGAAUUCGGGCGAGUGUUGGUACAAAAUGUAACUCGU